UGGGGAAUCUUGCACAAUGGGGGAAACCCUGAUGCAGCGACGCCGCGUGAACGAUGAAGCCCUUCGGGGUGUAAAGUUCUUUCGACAGGAACGAUAAUGACGGUACCUGGAGAAGAAGCUGCGGCCAACUACGUGCCAGCAGCCGCGGUAAUACGUAGGCAGCGAGCGUUGUUCGGAGUUACUGGGCGUAAAGAGUGCGUAGGCGGCGAGCCAAGUUUGGUGUGAAAUCUCCCGGCUUAACCGGGAGGGUGCGCCGAAAACUGGUUGGCUGGAGUAUGGGGGAGGAAAGCGGAAUUCCUGGUGUAGCGGUGAAAUGCGUAGAUAUCAGGAGGAACACCUGCGGUGUAGACAGCUUUCUGGACCAAAACUGACGCUGAGGCACGAAAGCGUGGGUAGCAAACA
rnacentral:rRNA from 1 species